CUUAUUAUUAGGGCUUCUUCUCACAUGACCAUAUGAUCUUAGGCCAGAUUCUACCAUAUUUUGCCCAAUAGGUGCUACCUCUGCUUUCUCUCUAAUGCAUUUGUUCCAAAUUUUGACUUUUAUUUCCACUCAUCCACCACAACAUUCUUAUUUUUCCAACACUUAGCUUAUGCUCUUGUUGGCUUUCUACUACCCAACAUUCAUACGUUAAAGCAUUGUCAAUUUUAUGGCUGUGCAGUAAAAUUUUCCUUUGAGUUUGAGAGGCACCUUUCAAUCACAAAUAACACCUAAAGCAUUUCUCCAUUUCAUCCACCUAGCUUGAAUCCUAUGUUUUACAUCUUCUUUUUCUCUAUCACUUUAAACAAUAGAUCCAAGAUACCUAUACAGUACUGAGUUAAUAUUAUCCCCCUAUGAGUUCUAUUAUCUAAAUUAUAAUCGAUUGUAAUUUGCUAUUUGCUUUUAUUAGUCAGUAUUUACCAAAAAUAUUGAUGCUUUUUUCUCCCUUGUUUGCCAUGUUUUGGGGGGCAGCAAGAACGGUGGCAAAAGCCCUUUUUGCGACGUUUGCAGGGGACCGACCUCCAGGCCGUGUUCCACAGUGAGUAUCGGUUGGAUUGGACUGCCGACUUGGGAGCGUUUCGACAGAAAGGGCAUGAUAGAUGAGAACCAUGGCUGUCUAAAAAUCUCAAGGCAACCACCGCAAGAGGUUGUACGAAAGAACCAUUCACAUUUUCCCCUUCUGAUUGUCGACAAAUAUAUUUGUCAGCCGCACGACUAGGUGUUUGUAGAGCUGCAGUUGACGGCCAUUUAUGCAAUACUACUGUCAUCAGUUUUGGGUUUUGGAAUUGCUAUGGGAAUCAACUAUGUAUAUAUCCAGUAUGUCACUUGGAGACUUCAGGUCUCUCAUAAUGAUAGCCCAGUAUGAAUCUCCUCAGAAGGGAAAUAACUUCAUGGAUUUUCUUUGUACCUACUGAUACGAUGGCCUUCAAUCCGUGUUUAUUUUGAACUUCAUGACAGCAAGAGCAGCCCAAGGGAUGGCAGCAGCAGCCCAAGUAGUGAGAAAUGAAUUAAAGACAGUGCAAACACCAAAUGAGAAGAGAAACCAUGAGGCAGGGAACGCAAGUCACAAGCAAGAUAGCACCAUUUUUUUUGUGAGGUUCAGUGUGGAGGAAAGGAGUCUGUAAUUGGAUAAGCAUGAGUGUGCCAUUCAUCUAGUGUUGUUAGUUUAUAUUUGUGCAGAGCCAUAAUUGUUACAGGUUGUCAGAAACUAUUGUAAAGGACACAGUCCUAAUAGUGUAAUUGGAAUCCUGUUACUAUUUCCUUGCAAAUGUUGUAAGAGGAUUACAUCCUCAGUUGCUGAAUAUUCAAUAUAA